CACUUGCAAUAGGGACCUUCUCAGUCGUCACUUGUGUCUCAAGCUCUUGUUGUAUUUGAGUCUUUGUUGUACAGUUUGUAAAUGUUCAACCUACUGCUCUUAUUCAUAGAUUAUAGGUGUGGUCAUAGUAUGUUCUCGUUGUUGGUUGUGUCAGCUAGAAUUAGUUGACAUUGAAGCUAGAGUUAGCUUGGUUUUGAUUCAAUUAGAGUUAGCUGUUGUCCAAUAGAGUUAUUGCAUAAUAGAGUUAUUGCAAGUAGUUGAGGUUUAAGAGGUUAAUUCUUGAACCAUGGAGUCUGUAUUCGAGGUUGCUUGAAGAAAGUGAAGUGGUUGGAAAUCCUAUGAGGUAGGUCGUGGUUUUACGCCCUUGAGCAAGGAGGUUUCCACAUAAAAUAUUAUGUGUAUGUGGUUUUCUUUACGUUGCUUUUGUGUUUAUUCCUGUUUAUUACUGCAUACGUUAGGUAGGGACCAGGUCUUUAAGUUGGUAGUCGAUUUGUAUAGUUCUACAUAAUUGGUAAAAAAAUUAUCAUCACUGGGUAACAAACAAUGAAUGUAUGAUAUGGGUCGUGUCUUCUCUUUUGGUCAUUGUUAAGUUUCGGAAUUAUAACUUUGGACACUUCUAGGGAACUUUUAUAUGAAUCAAUUCUUUCAUUAUUGGCCUUUUUCUGAUACUUGUAUUCUCCAAUGAUCCUAAGUGUUGGUGAAUAUACCACAAAUUACAUUUUAAUUUAAUAUAACAAUGUAUAAACACCAAUACAAAGUAUGUCAAUUCUUUGUCAUGAAGGGCUCUAUACUUAUGCUUUUCUUCCUCAGUUAGUUUUUUUUAACUUUGUGACUUUACCUGUUGACUAUACAAACUGUAACCACAAAUAGAGCACUCUAGCAGUGACGACCCAGAUACCAGGCAGCUAUCAUCUGCUUUGGCUUAACUAGCCUCACGGAUUUAUCCCGUGGGCGACAGCAUCAUUGAGGUCAACGAUGCAGUACCAUGUGAACUUAUGCUUUAUAGGCCUUAUAAAGCUGUUAACUUUCCUAUCUCAUUGUGAUGUAGGAUACACCUAAGGUUUUAUGUGCACUGUUCUUUUAGAAGUUUUGUCUGUCCAGAAGCCUACUUCUAUCUCUUUGAUCCGCCCUUCUUGGCUCACCCUUCAUCAUGAAUGUCACACUAACCACAAUGCUUUUAUGUCCACAUGCAUAAACCGAACAUCAAUGGAAAUUCCUACUGUUAUUUAGGCUUUAAUUAGUGAACACAUGCACUAGAAGUUCUAUAAUGUGUUACAGUUUUGGGAUCUUUUCACCCUAUUCAACUUCGAGUAUUUUUGUACUUCCUUUUCACCCUCUUCAAGUGUUUGAAAGAAUUUUUUUUCAACAAAAGUGACUAGUUUGAAAAGAUUAUUUAUUCUAAAAAUUACAUAAACCCACAUGUUAUGUUUCAUUUAUUACAAAAUAUCCCAUAUCCCCAAACAUAUUACAUUUAUACCACUUUUUUAAUUUCUCUCUCAUAAAUUACAUAUACAUACAAACCCUUUUUUACUUUCACCAAAUCUUCCCCAAAGUACGGCUAAGCCUCCUUUUUACGCUCACUGUUGCUCCCCCAAAAGUACGACUACAAUCAAGCGACAGUUUCCAAGUUUGAAAUCAAUUGUGUAUCUGUCCAACUCCUAGUCAAGGGUAUUCAAUUUCAACUUAAUCUUCUUCAAUUUCAACUGAAUCUUCUUUUAACAUUCUAAAUGUUUAAUUUUUCAGUAUUGUUAGAAAAAAAUUUCAUUACAUAUUUGAAAUUUUAGAGAAUUUUCAAACAAGAUUUUGUUGCAUGUUUUGAUUAACUAAUUUUAUGAAUUUCUACUUUACCAAAUUAUAGUUUAAUUAUCUGUAUUUUUCUUCUUUUUAAAAAAAAUCAUCUAUUUGAAGUAAUAAAGUAGCAACUUAGUACUAAGUUAAUGGAGGAUUCUCCUUCGUUUAGUUUAGGAUUAACUCAGUUAGAUAAUAACGAGACAACAAAUUCGUUAGUUGAUUUCGUUCCCGUAGUAUUUGAUAAUGAGGAACCUAACUUAGAUGAAAACAGAUCAAAAAAUCUUAACGACCCCAUCAAGAUGAAAAAGAUUAUUAAAGCAUCAACUUCAAGGUCAAAAAAAUAAAUUGGAGAACCAUCAAGAAAAUUGAAAAAAAGGACAAUGGUCGGCCUCGUUUACCGAAGGUAUUUCAUCUUUUAUAAUAUUUUUUGUUAUUGGUAUAUUGUGUUUUAUGAAAAUUUUAUUUAAUUGUUUUGAUUAUUUAUUGGGGUUAUGAGGUUAAGUGUGGAAAUUGGAUGUGCAAAUACAAAAUUACUCUGUGUAUAUAUUCUGCAUAUACAUUUUUGUUUAUGCUAUUGGUUUGAAUACCUUGAUAUUUGUAGUUCAUAUACAUAUGUGGUUACUGCUUAUAUCUAUUAGUAAGUAUGUAUAUGUUAUACACAUACAUUAUUCUUUUUAUGUUGUUGAACAUAUACAUAAAUUCUAUUACGUGUGUUUUGUGUACUAUGUUUUGAUGCAUUGAAUAUUUACAUUUGUAUAUGUAAAUCAUAUUUAUAUAUGAGUUGUUUUUUGUUGUGUAUACUAUUUUUGAGGUAUGAAAUAUUACAUCUGUAUAUGUAAAACAUAUACAAAAGAGUUGUAUUUUUUUAUUUUCUUGUGUAUUGUUAUGUACAUAUACAUCUAACAUAUGUAUAUUUAGUAGAUAUACAUAUGUUAUCAUGUGUUUAAGGUUAUGAAUAGUACCUACGUAUAUUUCUAACACAUACAUGUCAUGUAUAUAUUGUUAUAUGUGUAAUUAAAUACCUUGUUUCUAUUCAUCAUUUUUUAUGUAUUGACCAUAUAUUCGUUCAUGGGUUAGAUGUUGUUAGAUGCGUAAUGAAAUGACUAGUUGUUGUGUACAGUAUAUGUUUUGACCAUAUAGGCUCACAUUUUAUGUGUUCUUCAUUUCCAAUAAGGUAUCAAAUAGCGGAUAAAAAAUGUUCCUGUGCAUUUUUUGCAUUUUGAUAGUUAUUACAACCGCAUAUUUGGUUCAGAUAUAAAGAAUUGUGCUGGUGAAGAAGCUUACAAUCUUUUUCGUCAAACAAUCUUUGGGUUCUUUCUAGACAUGCCUUAGUAUAAUUUUUAGGAUCAGAUUUCCAAAUGUAUACUUAUGCUUGAGUUAGAUUAAGGAAAUUCGGAUGAAAUUCACGUUUACAUGUAGGGAACCAUUCUGAAGUUUACUAUUUCUGAGUUUGCUCUAAUAUCUGGACUUAAAUAUACUGGGAACAUUGAGGAACACCUAUAUACUCAUUCAUCUAAGUCUGUACUAAUGGUGAAGUAUUUCCCAAGUUUGAAAAAUAGUGUCAAAAAGUGUAUUUUUGUACAGCGAUUCCAGGCAGAAAAUUUCGACAACAACACCGAUGCUUUGAGCAUGUACAUCCUAUACUUUAUUCAUACCUUUUUGUUUUCACAAAUACGUGAUGCUACUAUUAGCAGAUCGGACUUUGUGAUGGUGGAGGAUGGCAGGUAUGAACAAUUUCCAUAGGGAAAGGCUUCUUUUCAAAAGUUGAUUGCAAAAUGGAGACAAAAUUUUUUUGUUGAAAAACAGCUAUACUCUAUUGGGGGAAUACCUCAUGUGUUAAGUGUUUUGAUGUAUGAAUGUUAUUCUAAGGUAGACAAUACUAUAGAUGAGUGUAUCGGUAAUGUGAUUCCAAGUAUUUUUAACUGGAAGAUAGUUGGGAUUAAGGUCAAGUAUGAGAAGUUCAUGGCUGGUAUGUUCAGCAAGUUUGUGUAUACUAAUUUAUGGUCAACUCAUGAAGAAGUACAAAGGCUUGAUUUGCCAAUAAUCGAUGGCGUUGAAUUAAAUAAUGAUGAAUCUGCCUUCUCACAUGAUACUUAUCUAGAUCAUUGUGGUAAAAGACACGUUGUCGAUAUACAUACUCAAUUGGACAUGAACCAUUAAGGUUUUAAGGAUUUCAGUACUGUCCCACCACCUGAAAUCCUAAGAAAGGUAGGUCUGUGUACUGAUGCAUCAGCAUCUCAACCUACGAAGAAGAGGAGGACAGUCCGAUUUGAUACUACAACUGUUCCUAUGCAAGAUAGCGAGAAAAUGCCAUCGUCUAUUUUAGGAAAAAAUAUGCCAAUAAAUCAUUUACGAACUUUUGAUUCAGAGAUGUUGAUGCACCAACGCUAACUCCAUCAUCAUCCAGAAAGUCAGGUCAUCAGGAUAGUUCUGACCAAAAGUGGAAUGAGUUGAAGUUCUUCUUAAAGUCUUAUAUAAGUUUUUGCAUAUAAUAAACACUAUAUAUAAUUAAAUUGUAGAAACAUUACCAAAUUUGUUGUCUUUUUAUUUGCAGAUUGACCAAAAAUUCACCUUC